rnacentral:lncRNA from 1 species
AAAGAUUUAAUUGGAUAUUGAACUAAUUCUUGUACUCAAAUUAGACUCAACUUUUACUACCUAGCCUAAAUAGACUUGAACCCAUUAGCCCAAAACUCAUACCUAAACCUAGACUUAAACCAAUAUAGAGAUAUAGAUUCAGAUUUUUCCAUACAUCUCAGACCCUUAGAACACGGAAAACGGCGCAAAAAAUCCCCUCCCCUUUUCCUUCGUCUUCGUUCCUCAUCUUCAAAAGAAUCAGAUUCUACCCCUUCAAGACCCUAGCAGAUGUUGAUGCCUCCUCCAUCUCAUACACACGCACCUUCACUCAUAGUAAAGUAGCCUAAACAUAAAUUUCUAUAUUCAAGAAAUUUAAUCUUAGAUCUGAAAAACCCAAAAGCUUCAAGAACAAAGACAAAACAACCAAAAAAAGUUAUUUCGAAACUAUUUCCUCUCCAUCAUUUGCUAUAUAUAUUCUGGUAUUUCUAAAGGACGCUUGAGUUUAGAAGUGUUGUUUGAUGUUGUUGUUGUUGUUCUUGCUCAGUUGAUUCAUCCGUUUCUGCCCAUAUUUGAUUAUUUCAAGUUCGAUUAUCAGUUAUCUAGGUACAUAUUCUUGAACUUGUAUCAUUACUUGAUGAAAUGGUUGAAAUCUUAAGUAAAUUGUUUUUUUCAAUUGUUCAUUCUUAUUUUUGCAAGUAUUUUCUGACAGAACUGCUCAUUUAAGUGUAAUUUGGAUAUGUUUGGCUUGUUUGUGAUUCAAAGAUUUAAAUGUACCUCCAAUGUUAUCAAUUGAUAUCUGUCGUUAAAUUGGUUAGCAAGCAUGUUAGUAAAUUAAAAUAUCAUAUAUCCUUAUGUCUCCUGCCACUGAUGAUUGUAAAUUCAUUAGACGUUUCUUGGCUUGUAACUAAUGUGAUUUGCCUCUCUGGUUGAAUUCUAUGAUUGAGAUUGAAGUCAUGUAAUAUGCCAAUUGAAGUAUAAACAGAUUAGUUCUCAUUUAUUUAAUAGUUGUUGAAUU